rnacentral:tRNA from 1 species
CAGAGGGUAGUUUAAUAAAAAUAUCAGUUUUGGGUAUUGAUGAUGGAGAAAAUCUUUUCCUCUGA